rfam:Sphingomonas sp. 67-36 SCNpilot_cont_300_bf_scaffold_299, whole genome shotgun sequence.
GGGCUUUUCGUUUUCGUGCCGAGCGCCUAUAUCGGUCGUGCUCGCGGGGCUUGCCCCACGGCUAUGGCGAUAAACGCCGGCGAUUAAUAGGCGCAGCGGACCCGGGGGCAGUACCCGGCGGCUCCACCACCAACCGUCCUUGCGGGCGGAUGAUGACGGGGCCGAACCAGGAUCGACGUGUGUUGAAAAGCGCUGGCUUUUGCCCGGAAUGGGACCACCGUGACGGCCCGUACACAAGUGCCAACGACAACGAGGCGCUCGCGAUUGCCGCGUAAUCAGUGACCUAACGGUCUAGAUUACAAGGACAAAAGCGCGGUUGGGCCGCACCGGGCAACAGAAGCGGAUUCCA